rnacentral:rRNA from 1 species
UUGAUCCUGGCUCAGGACGAACGCUGGCGGCGUGCCUAAUACAUGCAAGUCGAACGAACUCUGGUAUUGAUUGGUGCUUGCAUCAUGAUUUACAUUUGAGUGAGUGGCGAACUGGUGAGUAACACGUGGGAAACCUGCCCAGAAGCGGGGGAUAACACCUGGAAACAGAUGCUAAUACCGCAUAACAACUUGGACCGCAUGGUCCGAGUUUGAAAGAUGGCUUCGGCUAUCACUUUUGGAUGGUCCCGCGGCGUAUUAGCUAGAUGGUGGGGUAACGGCUCACCAUGGCAAUGAUACGUAGCCGACCUGAG